GCCAUCGGACGGACCUACGCACGUGUGAUGUGUUUCUCCUUGCCUCACUGACGCCGGGACGACCAAUGGAAGGUCGCUGCCCGGUCAGACCCCGCCUCCCGGUCGGUGAUUGACGUGUCGUUCGUGUGUUGUUGGGAGAGGGAAGACUCGUUGAAGGACGGUUCAACGGUCGGAGCGCGAACGGAUGAUUUGAACAAGAGUGGAUUUCGAGCGGGAUAUGAUGGUGGACAGGCGGCUGGGGAGGAAGAGCUUGCCUUGCCAGAGCUAUUUUUGCCUCCCAUCAGGAUGUAUCUUGACUGCCUGACAUCUAAUUAAUUCCAGUAUUGAAUGUGCAAGAAUUCACCAACCCACUGUAUUUAAAUCUUGGGAAGACAUGAAGUAAUUGGAAUCAGUUCAUAGUUCAAACUGCACCCCUGACUUUCUAUCUCGAUAGGACACAAGGAAACACUGAGGAUCAUGCCCAUGGAGACCCCGAGGGCAGCUGGAAAGUAUUCGAACAAAAGGUGUUAAAGAAACUAUAUUCUUCACCACCUCCUGAAAGGAAAAUACAGGAAGCCCUGACAAAAGCUUUUAAGACACAACAAGAGCAGGAGAAGGAGGAGGAAAGAAACAAAAGUACUGGCGACUCAAAAGACGAUGCACAAAUUAUUCCUGUAAGCAAGAAAGUGUAUACGGUGAAUCUGCCGCCUUCUGGGAAUGAAGUGUGCUCAACUAGAUUAAAAGAACAUCAUGAAUCUCAAGAUUCAAGUGAAGAACCAGAAGAUUCGAUCUGCGAGCAAAGUGACUCUGAAUAAUACAGACACAUUGAUGCAUGGCACAGCUCUAUUUCUUGGCGUGUUAGGUUUCAGCAUGUCCUACUACAGUACACGACAAAUGCAACUUCAGCAGAAAUCAUUAACUAACUUUAAAACAGGCGCCUGAUAAGAAACGGAUACAGAACUUUCACAGUCAGGCCAUGAAAGUGAGAUUGUAUUUGAUGGUAAAUGUUGUCAGAUCACCUCCUGGACCACGCCUGCUGUCUUAAAGUUUCAAAAACCAAUAAGCUUUGCUGCCAUUACAAUUGCACUAAUGAUUUGUCCUGGUAAAGGCAAUCGGCCUUUUAGCUAAUGCAGACUGUUAAAUUCUGAAACUUUGUGUACAGAAAUUUGAAUCUGAAGCUAAGUCUAAACCUUAUUAUAAUCAAUUCUGCAAAAUGGGGACAAUACAGCAGCGCUAUCAUUCACCAUGAUGGCUGUAUGCAGAAAUAUAUACAAAAUGAUUCCAUUUAAUGAGGGACAAAAUUUUGCAGAAAUGACAAAAGAACCGUUUUUAUCAUCAGCUUCUGAAAACGUGGCAGACAUGGUGGGCCAAAUGCACCAUAAGAAUGGAAAGAGCAGAUACAGGCCGUUUGGCCCUCUGUGCCUACUCUGUCAUUCAGUAAGAUAAUGGCUGAUUUUCUACCUCAACUCCACCUUACUGCACAACAUCCCUAUUGCUUGAUUGACAAAUACAUCUAAAAAAUCCAUAGAUCUCUGACUUGAAUGUAUUUGAUGAUUGAGCAUUAACACCCCUCUGGUUCAGAGGAUUCCAAAUAUUCACAGUCCUUUGAGUGAAGAAAGUUCUCCUCAUCUCAAUCCUUAAUGGCUAAAUCUUCCCAGUGGGGCUGCAAUCCCUGGGUCUGGACUCUACAGGCUGGAAAAAUAGCCUCCCUAGUAGCAAUCCCAUCACAUCUCUUUAGAACUGUAUAUCUUUCAAUGAGAUCACUGCUUAUUCACUUAAAUUUCAGGUAAUAGGCUUAGUCCACUGAAUUUCUCCUCAUAGGAGAAUCCCUGCAUUCCAAGAAUCAGUCUACUGAUCCUUUAUUACCUUCCUUUGAAGAAAAGUGUAUCCUUCCUUUGGUAUGGAAACCAAUAUUGUCCUCAGUACUGCAAGUAUGGUUUCCCCAAGGUCCUAUAUAAUUGCAGCAAGGCUUCUUUGUUCUUAUACUCCAAUGCCCAUGAAAGAGAGGCUUAUAUUCCACUUGUGUUCCCCUAAUUUCGUACUGUACCUUGCUUGUUAACUUCCUGAGAAUUGUGUGUAUGAGAAUACCCUUUGAAAACCAACAUCUCCAACCUCUUGCCAUUUAAUAAAUAUUUUAUUUUUCUAUUUUUGUUACCAAAAUGAAUAAAUACAUCUGGCUCCAAAUUAUGUUCAAGUGUCACAAUUUUACUUACUCACCCAUCCCUUCGUAGCUGAUUUGCAACCUCCUCAGACUUUACUUUCCCAUCUAACUUUGUAUCAUCAGCAAGCUUGAACACAUAACAAAUUGUUGAUGUAAAUUAUAAAUAACUGAGCCCCAAUCACUGAUCCUUGCAGUACCACAAUGUAGUUUGCUAAAGUAAAUUGUCCCAUUUAUUCAGAUUGUUUGGUUUCUGCCUGUUAGCCAAUCUUCAAUGCAUGCAAACAUAUUGUCCAUGAUCCCACAAGUCAUGUUUUCUCUCCCCCUUCUUGAAUAACAGGCUUGUUUUUACCUCUGGAGAUGACUCAAAAAGCUAAGAGAUCAAAAUGCAACUUCUAAUUUUGUAGCCAUCUCCUAUGACAUAAGCUAUCAAGUUCAGGGGAUUUGUCAGCUCGUAGCUUCAUUAAUUUCCCCAGUACAUUAUCUGUACUAAUACUUUUUUUAAAAGUUCCUCAAUCUCACUAAACACUUGGUUCCUCAUUAUUUCUAUAAUGCUCUUUGUGUCUUCUGACAUGAAGGGUACAAUGGAUUUGUUUAUUGCUUCUACUAUUUAUUUAUUCCACUUGCAAUUUACCUGUCUGCCAAUAAGAAAGAUGUUUACUGUUGUUAAUCUCUUUUCUUCCCUUAAUGUUUAUACAUACCCACAGAAACUUUUCCAAUUUAUUUCUAUGUCUGUUCCUAGUUUACUUCCAUCUUCUAACAUCUCUCUAUAUCCUUUUUAUUCAACGUUUUCUGAAAUUUAACAUCAUCCUCAAUCUCACAUUUGACAUUCUUUAGGAACACUGGAAGCUUUUACUUUUACUGUAAUACUAUCCUUAAAAAUCUUAAUAGCCAACAUUGGACCACUUUUCAUGCCGGGUUUUUAUUUCUUAAGAAUUGUUCUGUGUAUUAUGAGUAAUAAUUUUUAAAAUAUUUGACAUUGCAUAUCUACCCCUUAACUUUAUUUAUCUUUGCAAAGAUAUCAUCAGAAAAAUUAUGCAUUGCCAGUUUUCAACUGUAACAAGUAGUAAUUUCAUUAACUUUUGUGAAUAAGUAAUGGUACUGACUUAAUCUGUGGUUUUGAAGGAUCAUGGUAUCUUUAUCUGCUCAAAAUGCCAUUCAUUUCAUUAUUUGACAAUCAUUGCAUGAUUGUAUUUUCCCAAAUGAAAUAUUUUAAAUAUGAAGAGAAAGACAGCAAUAUAAUGCUAUGCAGUGAUAUAUUUGACAAUUUAAGGAAUAACAUUUAUUUUGCUGUAUGAAGGCCAUUUACGACUGCAAAUCAUGAAAUACUUAACCACAGCAUAGCAGCAAAUAAGUGAAUUAUCAGAGCAAAAGAAAGAGGCAAAGCUUAAUUGCUCAAGACAAAAAUAAAAAUUCACUUUUGCCUCAAUACUCAACUAUCUCUGGUGACACUGAGAGAUGAAAAAGAACUUUCAUUACAAUAUGAAAACUACCAAACUCAACUUCAUGAUCACAAAGAAAAGUGUAUUUUUACAGAAAUAUGGCAAAUAGAUGUAAUUUAAAUUUACUUCAGCUCUGUCUUUUCAGUUUAUUCUCCUUCAGGUCUCUGAAGGAAGACAGACCUGACCUCCACCACACAUAGGACAAGGAGGUAGAUAUCAAAUCUAACCCAAGGACCCCAUGUUGCUAUGGAAAUAGGCACUUUUCCAUGCAUGUUGUGUGUGGAACCACAAAUACUGAUGGUAGAGGUUUCAACAUUUCUGACUUGUUCAAGGUACUUCUGAUUCUGCAAUGUGACCAAGAUGGUCGGCAAGCUCUGUUUAAUGCCCACUACCAUUUUGGAUUGAAUUCCUUGACGAUGAAUGAAGCCUGACACAGGGGUCAAACAAUGUAUCCAGCAUCCUGAUUGUGUAUGACCAUCAGCAUUUUCUUAUUGGGGUUGUAGCAAUUACAGAUCGGGUUCAAUGUUUAUGAUCCAGUUAGGGACCAGUGACUUUUAAUUUCAAAAUAGACAAAAUUUGAAUACCCAAAUACUUAAUUUUAUAAAACUUCAGAAAGUCAGAAAGUUAAAACAAUCUACAAUACCUGCCUUUUUUACCUUUAACACAACCUAAGAAUAAAUUAACAACCAAAAUGUAGUAAAUCACAGCACAUAAAAGCAAAGAACUGUGGAUGCUGGAAAUCAGAAACGAAAGCAGAAAUUGCUGGGAAAACCCAAUUUAAUAUUGAACCUUAUCAUAUUAUAAUUGCCAUUUCCAAUGCUUCCUCACUCUGACGUUCUCUACUUGGCUUGCCUUAUUUCACACAGCUCUGUCGGUAGUAGACUGGAAGUGUACAGUUCCAGAAAUUUCUCCUGUCUCAUUGUAGGAAUUUCUCCCCUUCUGUGCCUCAUAAUCUACCUUUUUCCCAAUUACCGAAGGAAAUUGAAAUCUCCAACUAUCACAAACCUAUCUGUCCUGCAGAUUUCCAUAACAUGCCGACAAUGGCCACUUCUGCUUCCUCCCCACUGUUUGGACGUUUGUAAUAAAUAUCCAUUAAGGUCACCGCUCCCUUCCUGAUUCUUACCUCCAAUCAAAUAGAUUCUAAUUCAAGAACUGCAUCUGAUUCAAGGGUAAUGACAUUAUCUUUGACCAAAACCAUUACACAUCUUCUCUUUUUACCCAUCCAGUUUCUACUAAUAACCUUAUAAACCGGAAUGUUAAGUAUCCAGUCCUUUCUGGCUUGGGCCAUGUUUCUGUCAAUGCUGCUUUGUCAUAUCCUCCUAAAGCAAUUUCUGUUUCUUGUUCCUCAAAUUGUUGACUACAUUCUAUGCAUAGAAUUUAACGCUGCCCUUAUCUCUUUCUUGCCCAUUGGGAUGUGACCAUUUCUUUGCUCACUGCCGACAUUCAAGCCUUCCCUCACUUCCUUUUCCCUGUUCACCAUUUCCUCUCUUUUGCCCUCGCAGGUUCUUCUCAAUCUAGGCUUAUUCAUCGGCUGACCCACCUGGCGUACAAGUUUAAAUCUAUCUCCACUACGAUAUUUAAUCUCUCAGCCAGAUAAUUAUUUCCAUUUCUGCUCAGGUGAAGACCAUCUCUUCUGAACAGCUUUCUCCUUUCCCAAAAGUGAUCCCAAUUUUCUUAAAAUCAUAAUCCUUCCCUAUUAGACCAUCCCUUAAACCAUACUUUUACCUCCCUGAUCUGACUUUGCCUAAAUUGUGAAGGUUGUGGCACAGAUAGAAUUUCUGAGAUUACCAUCCUGGAGAUCCUUUGUUUUAACAUUUUCCCUAACUCCUGGAAUGAUCUUGCAAGAUCUUCAAGCUGUCCUGAAAAUGUUGAUGAUUCCCACAUGAACCACAACCACUGAUCGUGCAUCCUCCAUUUCCAGAAGUUUAUUCAGCCCUCCCAAACACUUGCAUCCCAGAGGCUACAAACUAUACUCGAGGACUCAAAAUCUUGGCUGCAAACUAGACAGCUUGUCCCUCAAACUGUUAAGUCGCCCACUCCUAUCACCCUUUCUAAUAUACUUCCAUCAAUUUCACUACCACUGAAUCACCAACAUCUCAUAUCACUCUCUCUUCCUCCUGAGGGGUUUCAACUCUUUACCUUCGAAGACACAACUUCCCUCAAAAGCCACACUGACUUGGACUUCCUCAAAGAUUCCUCCCUUCUGGGUGGCUUGAUCUCAUCUCCUAAGGCCAUGCUAUUCUGGAUUCUCAAGGUUUACAUUCCAACAUCGACUCAUGGGCACUAUUCCAGUUCACGAGGGAUACUGAGCCAAUCUCCAUUGUUUCGGAGAGUCACUUCUGCAACAACGAUCAGCAGUACUGAGCCAGUGACUUUCUGCCACCGUCAAAACUCCAAUCGAUGCCUUCUGGGCCUCAACUGGACUUUUCCGACUGGACUGGUGGCAAUUAAAAGAAAGGAUAGAAGUCAGGGAAGGUGAUUGACACAAGAAGUAAAUGAUCAAUGAUCACACUAUCAGCAGUUUGCUCAGUAUGUUAGGAGAAUCAGGGCAAGCUGACAGUUCAGAAGGGUCAUAAAGCUGGAGCAUACAACCAUCCUCAAUAUUCUCAAUGACAUCAGAUGACAUGUGCUUAGUUGUAGUUAGUUCCAUAAUGUUGAAAGCAAACUCCACCAGAGAACUCAGGAAACAGAAGAAUCCUUAUUCCCUGCCAUCCCAGUUCUAUCUACUCCUUUUUAUUUUAGGUAACUUUAUCCUGAAAGGGACUGCCCAAAAUGUCCAUGUUUGUAUUGCACUAUGUUCAGGCAAAAUUAAAGGCAAAUGAAUUUAAUGACUAAAGAAUGCAUGGCACAAAGCAAAAGAUGACAGUAGGGCAUUAAAGAAACAAAACAUGGAACUGCAAAGAUGUGAAUGGACAUGGCAUUAACAACAAUAGCCAUCCAAAAGCAACUUAAGAUUCAUUGUUAUUGAACUCAAUGAUAAGUUAGCAAGGCUGUGAUGUCCCGAAUCUAAAGGAGAAGCCUCAUUUCUCAAACUUAUGUUGAACAUUAUUCGAACUGUGUAGGAGGUCCAGAACAGACAGUAGAGUAGAGGUGGCGAUGAAGGAGAAUUAAAACGAAGCUUUGAGUUAUGCUUGCAGUCUGAAAUUAGGUGUUCUACAAAGCAGUCCCUAAAUCUGCUUAUUGUCUUUCCAGUGUGGAAGAGCACCAUGUCUACGAAAGAAUGAAAUCACUGUUUCACAUAAAAGGAAUGUUCGUGGACUUGGGUAAGAUGACAGAAUGGUGGAGGAUGAUCCAUUGAAUGUGGAGGCUGGUGGGGUGGAAAGGAAGUUGAGAAGAACCAUGUUUUGAUUCGUAGAGGAAGGUGAAGGUUUGAGAACUGACAUGCAAGAAAUGGAAUGGAAUAAUCUGCUUGAAGAUCUCGUCAACAAUAUUGUUUCCCCAAAUGAGGUAUAAAGAAGGCACAAGAUGGAUCACAUGUACUGGAGAAGGAGGAACAAUGAAAAUGGAUUAGAAUCCUUCAAGAUAUGAUCGGUUGAAAGUGUAGUCAAAGUAGCUAUUGAAGUCAGUGGGCUUACGGUGGAUAUUGGUUGAUAGCCUAUAUCCAGAAAUGGAGACAGAGUAGUUGAAGAAGGAAAAUAAGAUUUGGAGAUGGAUCAUGAACAACGGAGGCAAGGGUUGAAGCUAGAAGCAAAGAUUAUAUCACUAUCAUGUUGUAAAACAUGGUUAGGAAGGCACCUGGGCAGCACUGCAACAUAAUAUGUUCUAUGAAAAGAAAAAUAGGCCCCACUUAAUCAUUACCUCUUUCCUCAAAAAAAAGACCCUAUUUUCUGUGGUAUUUUCCCAGAUGACCACUCUUGCACCGAGGGUUGUCUGAGACAAUGUGUUGACACCAAACCUUUUCCAAUACCACACUACCAACUCCAUCUCUGUCCUUUUAAGCAAUCUGAGAUAAGCCAGUCUGUUCACAGCCUUCUGUCACAAUUGACUCUAAGAUGUGCCUCAUAUUCACACUGUAAGACCAUUUAUUUCCACCUCUAUUAUUUCAUCCAACUUCACCUGUAUCUCAGAUCAUCUGUUUGAAACCCUUCUUCAAACCUUUGUUACUUAAAGACUCAACAUUUCCAAGACACUCCUGGCUCUUGUUCCACAUUCUACUUCCAUAAGAUCAUUUAACACUCUGUUGGCUAUUUCUUAACUUGCACCAUCACAUUCCCCAUCACCCGUGUGCCUGCUGGCCAACGUCGGCUCCCAAUUACGCAAAGUCUUAAUUUUAAAAAAUAUUAUUCUUGUUUUAAAACCCCUUCCUAUCUCUGAAUUUGAUUCCAGCUCUACAGUGUUCUUAGAUAUCUGUGUUCCUCUAAUCUUGUCUCUUGAGGGAUCCAUGAUUUUAAUCCAUCAUUGGUGGCUAUAUCUUCAGUUGCCUGAGCCCCAAAAUCUGGAAGACCAUUCCUGCAUUUCUCUACUUACCUACCUUACUUCUGACAUUUAAAAUACUUAUUAAAACCUAUGUCUUUGACUUAAUAUUGCUUUACACAGUUUGAUGUUAUAUUUUGUUUCAUAAUGUACCUGUGAAGUGCGUUGGUAAGACCUAUAAAUGUAAGUUGUUGUUUUAGAUCCUAUAGCAAUAACUUUUGUUUAAAAAUAAUGAAUGAAGGUAAAGGAAAAAUUGUUCAAAUGUAAGAAUAAAUUUACUCUGACAGAGGAUGGGGAUAGCCAACGGAGUCUAAUUGGGAUUCUUUACAAGGAAGAAACAGAAACCUUUCAGACUUCACUGGUAAUUGGAUAACCAUAAUGAAAAAAGAAUGGAGACAAUUUUUAUCUCUCAGUGGCUUGUGCAACUAUGGAACUUUCUGCCUCAGAACAACAUGGAAGUAAUGGAUCAUUGAAUAUUUUUAAGGUGUCAGUAGAUAGGCGGUAGUUAGACUGGGGAAUCAAUCGUCAGGAUUAGAAGAAAGUGGAAUUUGAAACACAAACAAUUUGGCCAUGAUCUUGUUGAAUAACAGAGUAGGCUUGAGGAAGCAAAUGGCUUACUUGUACUCCUAAUUUGUACACAUAUACAUUAGUGCCACACAACUGAAAACUGUUAAAUUGGAAGAUUUUUUUCUAGAGUCUUCCCAGCAUGCUAGAAAAGUAAAGGAUGCAGCUGGGAAAACCUGGGACAAAGAGAGAGAAAGCAGAGUCCGUUGGAGGAAAUAAGUUCCAUGAGGCAGUAGAUUCCCGGUUUUAAACCUUGAGAAGGAGGUAGACAUGGACUAUUCGGGUUGGGAGACAUAUGAGAAAUUCCACCCAUCUUUGAUUUAAUUUGACCAAGAUAUAAUUUCUGCUUUCCAUCAUCAGACACACGAAUUUUGAUUGAUUAUUGGCUACAUUUCCAUUUUAAAGUUAUUUUAAGAGACAUGUUUGUGUCAUAAAGUCUAGGAAUUCCUGAUGACAACAGAAUUGCUCCUGUCUAAUGAGGCAUUCUUUAAUAAGUGACAAUGAGGUAUUUUAUUUUAUUCAUAUUUCAUGCAUGAGUAACAAAAUAAUGUUCCAUUCAUCAGAUGCUACUAUUACUGGAUUAUGCCAUUGUUACAUUUGGCUUGUACAUUUAUAUAUUUUUAGUUUGUCUGUGAAAUUUAUUAAAAAUAUAUAAAUGCUGGUUUUGAGUCCAAUAUGACUCCUCCAGAAACUUGAAAUGUUAACUCGUUUUUGUUCGGUUUCCAUUGAUGCUGCCAGACUUGCUGCAUUUCUCCAAAACUUUCUGUGUUUCUUCCACUAUUUUACAGCUUUGUACCUUUGGAUUUGUAAAAACAUUAUUUUCAAGUUUCAUACCUAUGCAUGUGCUGUUCAAAAAAAAUUGCUUCAACAGGAGUUGCAUGGCUGUAAUUUAGUUUGGGAUUUCUCAGAAUAAACCACAAAAGCAAUGAUUCUAUAAUACAUAGCUCAGUAUGAAGCCCUUUGAUUGAAUUAUGGCCUUCAAUGCCAUACUCAACAAUUUUUUGUAGUAUAUGUUCAAUGCUUUAAAUACAUCUUCGUAAAUGGCUGGAACUUGAAAAUGUACAUGAAAAUAUAAAUGCUUGGUACGCAUCAAAGAAUAAGAUUGUAAAUAUAUAUGAGGUUUCAGAACUGCGAGCAUGCUAUGUCUCAAUGCAUCUUUGUAUGACCGCUAUUAAAUGCUUUCUCUACCUGUGACUGAGUGCUCAUGAAACCAUGUGCACCUAUCACUAGGUGGCACUAUUAUUGUGCAGGUCCCAUUUCCAACUUCAUUUCAUUGAAAGGAAUUCACUUCAUUCUUAAAUAAAACUGAAAUUAUGACAGAUCA